CUGAGCUGCGACGGACGCGUCCAUCCCAGUACUGCCAGAAAGAAAAGUUGCAUAAUUAUAUAUAAAAAAAUCUCAAACCUCGCUGCGCCUGGUUUUGUAGUGUGAUAGGUCGAGGCUGCGUCUCCAUUCCAGGGCGUGGAGAGUGGAGACGGCCCGCCGCCGCAGCCAACGUCUCCGUCCUCCCCAGAUCCACACCAGUGAGGAGGCCGCCGGAAUGGCCCUCCGCCGCAGCCCGCGGCUCCACCCACAGACCCCCGUGAGCGGGGACGGUGCCGGAGCGACCCGCCGACGCAGCUCGCGGCUCAACCCCCAGAUCCCCAUCGGCGAGGAGGGCGCCGGGGUGACCACCCGCGGGCGCAGCACGCGGCUCCAUCCCCAAGUCCACGCGAGCGAGGAGGGUGGCACCGUAAUAUGCUUCCGCCGCAGCCCGCGGCUCAAUCCCUAAAGGUGAAGUAGUCAAGGGAUGCUGCUGUCCCUAUUCCUUACCGAGUUCGUUGUGUUCCACCAAUGUGGUCGGCACUGUGUAUAUAGGUUAUGUGGAAAAACUUGCUGAACAUGUGCAUUAAGUUUGUAAUGUGACAAGAUGCAUUUUAAUACCUAAGCAAGGGAAGUAGUUCAGCUUCCCCAAGACAGCAUAGUUCACUUCAGAUUCUGACAUGGUUGUGGAGCUCUUUACUUGGAAGCCUUCAGAUUCCUCAAGACAACAUGGUUGUGCAUCCAAGCGCUUUAUGUGUACAGGCCCUCCUUAAUAAUGUUUUCUUCAAAGUCAGACUAUUAUAAAUCUAGUUUUAAAUAUUUUGUUUCCAUUUA